rnacentral:rRNA from 1 species
AUACGGAGGGUCCAAGCGUUAUCCGGAUUCAUUGGGUUUAAAGGGUCCGCAGGCGGGAAAAUAAGUCAGUGGUGAAAGCCUACAGCUCAACUGUAGAACUGCCAUUGAAACUGUUUUUCUUGAGUAUAGAUGAAGUGGGCGGAAUAUAUCAUGUAGCGGUGAAAUGCAUAGAUAUGAUAUAGAACACCGAUUGCGAAGGCAGCUCACUAAACUAUUACUGACGCUCAGGGACGAAAGCGUGGGGAGCGAACAGGAUUAGAAACCCGAGUAGUCC